rnacentral:lncRNA from 1 species
UGUUAACUUGGUAAAGUAUAAGGGAUUAAAAUGCCAUUAUCCCAAUCGGAAAUCAUUAGAGUUUCACCAACCAACCAAUCUCAUUAAGAAAAUCAACGACUCCAACUGCCAAUAGAUAGAAGUUAUGUACAAUCAGUAAAAUAUUAUCUCCGACACAACGAUGUUAACCGCCAGUACCCAUAAGCCUGUCUCUCUACAUGAAUGUUCUUAAAUUCCAAAAAGAAAAUAGCAUCUAACGACGGAUCUUCAUUGUGCGCUGGAUAUGCAGUGGUGCUCGGUCAAGAGCUCGAAGAUGAGUCCACUUGAAUCCACAGCAUCUCAGCAUACGCCUUAUCUUCUUCCUUCUCCUCCAAUGCAUACUUGGAGUCAUCCAGUAGAGAGGAAGCCGAGACACCCACUCCUCGCCGCCAAAAAAACCUCCCUAAGGCUGCCCAAAAAUUCACAAAAUAGCAGACAUUAACCUUCGACGAAAUUAGCAGCCAAGAACAUUACAAAAGAAACAUGCAAGAGACGCCACAAAACAUAGGAAAUGGAAGAAUACAUGGUCCCCUCUGCCCAUCAUACAUCAUUCUACUUCCCAUGGCCAUGGUAAUAUACACAGAAGUGGUACCAUGUAAAAGAAGUAAAUUAAUUAAGGAAGUACAGUGGAAACUACCAAGUGGUAUUCUUUGUAGUAGUGAAUAAAGAAGAUAUCAUUAUGUGAGAUCUCACAAGCUGCUUGCAAUAAGGAAUAGACAGGAGCAGGGAAAUGCAUAUUCAUAUGAAUAAACUAGAGAAAUAACCUCAAAAAGUAACCUGAUCCAAGUUUAGAAUUACGUUGGCAUACAAACAGCUAAAUGGCAUAGACAAAGCAAAGAAUAAGCAACUCCCGUGGAGAGAUUAUCUAGACAUCCAUCUUGGAUUCGAAAAGUAGGCCACAUCUCAUUCUAACGAUUCAUCAAACUCAUUGUAUGUAUAAAAUUAAGAUGUGCAUAAGGUCUUUGAACUAGAUUCUUCAGUUACUUAAUUGGUUAAGAUAAUACUGAAAAGGGCCUAUACCUAAUCAGAUAGCACUUAUGAAAUAUGAACCAACUGCUUGACUUGGAGUUCGUCGACAGUCCCUUCUAUUGCUGAGGAAGGAGGAGCACAAGAAGAUGCCUCAUACUGUACCUAAAUCAAACCCAAGUAGCAUUUUCAUUUAACUUAAAUCAGCAUUUCCAUCUAACCUAAACAAAUUCAAGAGGAAACUAAUGAGAAAUUAAUUAAAGAGGAAACUGAUAUCGAGACAUAACGGUCGUCGGAGAAGUGGGCGUUGGAGGCAGAGAAGGAAGAGGACUGUUGCAGCUUUCAACGUAAAAGACGGCGGAUGAGUAUUUCUGCUAUACUGCUGCCGCCGCCAAAACCUACCAUCCAGCUGACAAAGAGCCUAACAAAAUAACCAACAAAAUUUAAUGCAAAGAAGAAGAGUAGAGAGGGAAACGAAGGUUGGCAGCGGUAAGGGAAGCAGUCGACUGCUACCUGAUUGAAAAUCGAGAGAAGCAGUGGAGAGGGAAUGAAAUCGGCACCCACAACGGCGGCGAAGGAAGGAUGGACACGUCGGGACAGGGACUGGAGCGGGGCAGAGACUCGACGGAGACAAAUGAAUAAGAAUCGGUGGGGGGUGAUGAAUAGCUGAGAGGAAUCGGCGAAGAGUGGUGAUGGCCAGGAAAAAUCGGCGACGGCGGCUGAGAAGAGAGAGAUCGCUCAGUUGGGGAAAACUACAUGAAAUUUUUUUACCUAGCUGUUUGAAAUCUCGAAUCCGUUGUCGCGGAAGCCUUAGUGCCGGAUAUAUUAAGAUUUCCG